rfam:Alligator mississippiensis ScZkoYb_141, whole genome shotgun sequence.
GACCACAUGGCCUAAUGGAUAAGGCAUCUGACUUCGGAUCAGGAGAUUGAGGGUUCAAGUCCCUCUGUGGUUG